GGCUUUACUGAUUCCUCCUUCUUGACGAACCGUGAUGUCAUUAAUUUGGUGUUGCGGGAAAUCAGGACUGUUACUUUGAAAAAAUUAGAGUGUUUAAAGCAGGCUAACGCUUGAAUACAUUAGCAUGGAAUAAUGAAAUAGGACGUUAAUCCUAUUUUGUUGGUUUCUAGGAUCGACGUAAUGAUUAAUAGGGAUAGUUGGGGGCAUUAGUAUUCAAUUGUCAGAGGUGAAAUUCUUGGAUUUAUUGAAGACUAACUACUGCGAAAGCAUUUGCCAAGGAUGUUUUCAUUAAUCAAGAACGAAAGUUAGGGGAUCGAAAACAAUCAGAUACCGUCGUAGUCUUAACCAUAAACUAUGCCGACAAGGGAUCGGAUGAUGUUAUUUUUAAUGACUCAUCUC
rnacentral:rRNA from 1 species